UCUUUGUUAGUAUAUUGGUUAGUACACAUACCUGUCAUCUAGAAUUUCAUUUACCUGAAUGUGCAAAAGCUGGGUUCGACUCCCAGACAGAGAG